AUUCAGGAAAUAGAAAAACUGAACCUUAUCUCUUACCUCUCCCUCACAAUGUGAGCUCUCCUUGUCCAUAGGAGGCGUGCUCCACAUCUUUCUUCUCUUCCCCAAGCCGAAGGGAAGAAUCCCUUUCUCCUCUCUUCUCCAGCCAGCCUACUCCCUCCUCCCUUCCUUCCCCACUCCUCCCCAGGUGCCUCCUUGCUGCACCACGCCCUUCACCACCUCCAUGGCUGCCCUUUGAUUUAGGGCUUUGAGGAAGAAGGAAAGGAGACAAGAAGAGGGAGAACAAGAAAGCUUCCCCAACUUUUCCCUUCACCAAAUCUUUGUGAUUUGACCAUAGAGGUGAGGUUCCCCACCAUUUAUGAUCUAUCACCAUCUAUUAGUGAUAGGGUUAGGACAAGAAACCUAUGUGAAGGAAUUGGGGAAAAAGUAGUUUAUGCUGCUGUUUCUGGGCGUUCAGAUCUGGAAACCAGCAAUUUCGAUUUCCUAUAUGGCAAAAUUAGGUGGGGGUCAUGUGGAAUAUUUUGUAGUUAUUGUUACCACGAUCGUUUUGAGUGGUCAUUCACUCAAUUUGGUUCAGCCGUUUAGCCGGGGCGAUAAAAACAAGUUGCUGCUCUGUUUCUGCAAAACAGCAUUUCUAUAGUUUUUGCCCAUAGCUUUUCAGGAUCUUCGAGGGCUGAUAAAUUGAUGCUACGCAAUGGUAUAGCUACAUGAUACAUUUUAGUUCUUAGAUCAAUUUUAUUUACUUACUCCCCAUGAGUAUUGGUCUUGCUAUGGAUUUCCAAAUGAGGCUACUCAUUAUUCCUGAAUCUGAGAACAACAGAGAUGUUUUUGCUGGUUUUGACCCACAUAACCUCAUAAUCUGAGGUUGAAUAGUCGGAGUUAUUUGUAGAUGAGUUCCCCAUGAAUCCAUAGCCAUCUCGUUUGCAUGUUUUAGAGCUUCCUAGCUUCAGCUAUGAUUUUUUCCGUGAAGGGACAGCAAAGGGUUGCUUCCCAGAAUGCGAUUAGGCGCGUUUUUGUGUGUGCUUUACAUAGCUUGCUACAACACCAGCGGGCGGCGGCGGCUUCAACAACAACAACGGCCGUGGUCCUCCCUCACGUGGUCGCCCUCGCUGCCAGCUUUGCAAGAAGUCUGGCCACGAGGUUAUCGACUGCUGGCAUCGGUUUGACGAGGACUACGUGCCUGAUGCCCGCCAUGUUGCUGCUGCCAUGCGUGAACAGGGCGGCGACGGUGUCUGGUACAUUGACUCUGGCGCUACGGACCACGUGACCAAUGAGCUCGAGCAGCUUGCCCUUCAUGAGCGCUAUCAUGGCAACGGCCAGAUUCACACCGCAAGCGAUGGAGGAUCGGGCAACGGGGGAACUCCUUCAUCACGGUAGAUGCGUUGGAGGGCUCUACCCCAUUCCAUCCGGAGCACUAGGUCGCAAGCGUCGUCAAGUCUACUCCGUCAUCAAGCCCUUUUUGGCACGGUGGCAUCAACGAUUAGGGCAUUCAUCUUCGAUCAUCGUCAAACAAAUAGUCAAUAAAGACAAUCUUCUUUUGUCUCAUAGUCCAAAUAGUGAGUCCAUGUGUGAAGCUUGUCAAUGUGCCAAGAGCCAUCAGCUUCCUUAUCCCAAGUCAACUAGUGUGUCUCAUGCUUUGUUAGAACUUAUUUUCAGUGAUGUAUGGGGUCAUGCCAGAGAUUCUUUUGAUAGAAAAAAAUAUUAUGUCAGUUUUAUGGAUGAUUAUAACAAGUUUACUUGGAUAUAUUUGCUUUCAGAAACUUGUUGAGCGACAAUUUGAUAUAAUUUUUUUUUCAGUCCAAAGUGACUGGGGAGGGGAGUAUGAGAAACUCAACUUUUUUUUCGUAGCAUUGGGAUAACCCAUCAUGUAUCUUGUCCUCAUGCUCAUCAACAAAAUAGCUUUGCUGAGCGCAAACAUCGCCACAUUGUUGAAGUUGGCCUCUCUCUUUUAGCUGAUGCAUCCAUGCCUCUUAAAUAUUGGGAUGAAGCUUUUAUCACCGCCACUUAUCUUAUUAAUCAUCCUCCCAGUAGAGUCAUUGGCAACUCUACCCCUUUAGAGCGAUUGUACAAGCGAAAACCUGAUUAUAACUAUCUCAAAACUUUUGUAUGUGCUUAAUAUCCUAAUCUGCGUCCUUACAAUCGUCACAAGCUUGAGUUUCAGUCCACACAAUGUGUCUUCCUUGGCUAUAGCAACCUUCACAAAGGCUAUAAGUGUCUUGAAAUUGUUACUGGACGCAUCUAUAUAUCUCGAGAUGUUGUUUUUGAUGAAACCGUCUUUCCGUUUUCCAAACUUCAUCCAAAAGCCGGCGCCUUGCUUCGUGCUGAAAUUGCUCUUCUACCGACUAUGUUUCGCUUCCUGAUCACGGGGGUGCAUUAAUUGAACCUGAUUAUGUUGAUAUAUAUGCUAAUUCAGGGUGUCAUUUUAUGUACGAGGAAACAAACAAAGCAGGCGCGGAAAAUCAUGCUGAUCUAGUUGACAGCGACAGAUCCGAGGCUGAUUCGCCCGCCAGGCCUGCCUCCGCUGACGGCGUGCGAUCCCAGGCGGAUCCUUUACCCGUGCGCGUGGCCACAUGCGGGCUGGUGGCCGACAGCUCCGACCGGGUGGACCGCACCAGUCCUGCCGCACCCACGCGCCCAUGCGACGACAGUCUCGCCAGCCCAGGUGCGGGAGAGGGCCAGUCGCCCGCCGUCACGUCUCUACGGGACCAGGCAGACCGCGGGUGCGCGGCCGAGUCGCCCGCUGCCACGUCUCUGCGGGUCCAGGCAGACCGCGGGUGCGCGGCCGACCGCACGCGUGAGGCCGGAUCUGCCUCGGAUCAGGAGCCGGCUGGCUCGCUGAUUGCCUUGGAUCGCGAGAGGAUCAGAUCCUCUGUGGCUGAUUCAGCUUCGUUAGGAUCGCGUGUGCCCUCUACCACAACAGCUGCUCUUGUGCCCUCUACGCCCUUUCUUCGAAAUACACGGUCUCGGUCAGGUAUUGUCAAGGAAAAACAAUAAAAUGAUGGUACAAUAAGGUAUGACAAAUUAAAACGGGCUUUUCUUACCACUACCGGUGAACCAAAUCACUUGCAUGAUGCUCUUGCUAAUAAGGAGUGGAAGGAAGCUAUGGAUAAUGAGUAUAAUGCACUUACGAAAAAUAAGACUUGGCAUUUAGUACCACCAAAACAUGGGAACAAUAUUAUUGAUUGUAAAUGGUUAUAAAAGAUAAAAAGAAAGUCUGAUGGAAGCAUAGACAGGUAUAAGGCAAGAAUAGUUGCAAAAGGGUUUAAACAGAGGUUUGAAAUUGAUUAUGAAGAUACUUUAGCCCUGUUGUUAAGUCAGCUACUAUUCGACUUGUCUUGUCUAUUGCAAUUUCCAGAGGUUGGAGUUUAAGACAGCUAGAUGUCCAGAACGCAUUUCUUCAUGGUGUUCUUGAGGAAGAAGUGUUCAUGCGGCAGCCACCAGGGUAUGAGAAUCAAAGCACACCACAGUAUGUUGUAAGUUGGAUAAAGCUCUGUAUGGUUUGAAACAAGCCCCAAGAGCUUGGUAUUCCAGAUUAAGCAUGCAGUUACAAAAUCUUGGGUUCACACCGUUUAAGGCAGAUACUUCUUUAUUCUUUUAUAACAAAGGCAAUGUCACUAUCUUUGUGCUUGUGUUAUGUUGAUGAUAUAAUUGUUUCCAGUUCAAGCUCAGAUGCUACUACCUGCUUACUUAAGGAUGUGAAGCUAGAAUUUGCUCUCAAGGACUUGGGUGACCUUCACUAUUUUCUUGGUAUAGAGGUAAAAAAAUUAAAGAUGGUAUACUUUUUUCCCAAGAAAAAUAUACUACUGAUAUUCUCAGAAGUGUAGGAUUGGAACAUUGCAAGCCAAUAAGUACACCAAUUUCUACCUCAGAAAAGCUUACAGUUGAAAGUGGAGAAGCACUUGCGUCAGAAGAUGCAACAAAUUAUAGAAGUGUUGUAGGUGCUUUACAGUAUUUAACACUUACACGUCCUGAUAUUUCCUAUUCAGUAAAUAAGGUCUGCCAAUACUUGCAUGCGCCCAGAACCACUCAUUGUACUGCAGUGAAGAGAAUUCUUAGAUAUCUCAAGUUUUCAGAAGGGCUUGGGCUUCAGAUUAUUAAGUCUUCUUCUAUGCUUGUUACUGCUUAUUUUGAUGCUGACUGGGUAGGGUGUGCUGAUGACAGAAGGUCUACAGGUGGUUUUGUUGUUUUCUGGGAACAAAUCUUGUGUCUUGGAGUGCAAGAAAGCAAGCAACUGUUUCUAGGUCAAGUACAAAAGCUGAAUACAAGGCUUUAGCAAAUGCAAUGGCUGAAGUAAUGUGGAUACAAACAUUACUCUAUGAGCUUGGAAUUAAGGCUCCACUGUCUGCGAGGUAAUGGUGUGACAAUAUUGGUACAACCUAUCGCUCAGCCAAUCAGGUCUUUCAUGCACACACAAAAGCACAUUGAGGUUGAUUUUCAUUUUGUCAGAGAAAGAGUAACUCGAAAGCUACUGGAUAUUCGGUUUAUACCUACUGGAGAUCAACUUGCUAAUGGGUUUACAAAACCUCUUACCAUGAGAAGGUUGGACGAGUUCAAGUACAACUCAACCUUAGCAAAGUUUUAUAAGGUUCAGGUUGAGGGGGAGUGUUAGAAUAGUUGGUUAGAGAUAGGGUUGUAUAGGGAUAGAUAUCUGUUUAAACCUUGUACCCUUCUCUAUCUCUUCUUCUGUUAUCUCUCUUCUCCUGAUCCUCCUGUAACGAUCGUUCUCCGCAACGAUCUCUCAAUCUCGUCUUGUAAGCCACGACAUCCUUUCUAUAUAUACAAGUGCGGCCCGAGACAAAGGGUUCAAUGCUUCCUA